rnacentral:rRNA from 1 species
CCUACGGGGCGCAGCAGUGAGGAAUAUUGGUCAAUGGGCGCGAGCCUGAACCAGCCAAGUCGCGUGAGGGAGGACGGCCCUACGGGUUGUAAACCUCUUUUGCCGGGGAGCAACGGGCGUCACGUGUGGCGCCACUGAGAGUACCCGAAGAAAAAGCAUCGGCUAACUCCGUGCCAGCAGCCGCGGUAAUACGGAGGAUGCGAGCGUUAUCCGGAUUUAUUGGGUUUAAAGGGUGCGCAGGCGGAUUUUUAAGUCAGCGGUCAAAUCGUGGGGCUCAACCCCAUCCAGCCGUUGAAACUGGGGAU